rnacentral:lncRNA from 1 species
AUUUUAAACCUCUAAUAUUUUUAGAUGUAUUGAGUCAUAGUAUAAUUUUGUAAAUAUUUUCAUUGUAAAUGUGUUAGGAUUAUUGUCUUUUAAAAUCAGUAUUGCAAAGCAUUGAUCAUUGAUAAAUAGGCUCUUAGAGCGAUACAACAUUUAACAUUAAUUUGGUUGUUAAGAGGAAAAAAGGUUAUGCAUUAUAGCAUUCUCGUAAUAGAAUAGGGUGCCAUUAUAUAAAUUGUAUAUUAAAAAACUUAAAUCAUGUAAAUUCAUUUGGUGUUUCUGGAUUUAUCAUAAUGUAUUUCAUUAGUAGCAUCCUGAUAUACAUAUCUUGAUUGUUUUUACAUUAAGACUAUUUUUUAACAGUAGAUUUAGGUUCAUAGCAAAAUUGAGGGCAAGGUACCAAGAUUUGCAAUAUAGGCCAUGCCCCACGAUUGCAUAAUUCCCACUACUAUCCACUUGGCACCCCCAUUAUCAAUCUCCCUUACCAUACUGGUACAUUUGUUCCUACUGAAUUUACAUGACAUAUCAUGAAUUAACCAAAGUUCAUGGUUUGUUAUGGUUACCUCUUGGUGUACAUUUUGUUGGUUUGGACAUAAUGUUUGGACAUAAUGUUUGGACAUAAUGGCCUGUAUUCAUCAUGGUAUUAUACAGACUCUUUUAGUUGUCCUAAAAUUCCUCUGUGCUCCACCUAUACAUCCCUCCCCCACAUUUAUUUUUAUUGUUGUUUUUUACAUUGGAGAUAUAAAUGACUUUGUUAAAGAGACUUUAUACUACCUCUUGGAACUAUACACAGUUCUGUAUGUGUUCCUUUGGUUGCAUGACAAUAUUCAAGACAACUUUGUAAAUAAUAGGCAGGCACAAGCUUUUAAUUUUUAACAUCUAGUCUUUCUAGAUGUGUAGAGUCUCACAAAGUAUAAUUUUGUAAAUAAUUCAUUGUAAAAUUUCAUAUUUUCAUUGUUCUCAAAUGUAAUAGCAAUGCAAGUGUAAUAGCACUUGCAAUUACAAAUUGCAACAAUUUUAGGUUUCUAGAGCUAUACAUAUUUUGGUAUCUGAGUUGUUAGAAGAAGGAGAAAGUUAAGAGUGUACUACUCUUGCAUUCUCUAAUAGAAAAUUUUACAUUUUAAUCACUGUUUAGUCCUCGUAUUUAUUAUGCAUUAAAAAUUCUAAGUUGUAAUUUUAUAGUUGUAUUGCUGAUAGGGUGUUAUGUAUUUUAAUCAUAGGAAAUAUGUAAGAAAUUGUAUUCUCCUUCAAGCCAUUCAGUUUUAUAUUUAACUGGAUAACAUGACAACAUUCAAGACGACUUUAUAAAUUACAAAUUAAUAAAUUAUUUAUAAAUACCUAGUUUAUCCAGAAGCAUGGAAUUUCAUGACAUGUAAAUUUGUAAAUACUUCAUUGUCAGAUACCACAGGUUGUUUUUUGUAAAUGGUUUGGAAGUAUAGUAAGUGACUAAUAAUUUGUUCUGUUAGAUAUAUGUAACAUUUUGAUGUUAGGUGGAUCGUCUUCCUUUUUCUUAAGAUUAUUAUGUUUUCAUGUAGAAGAAAGUAUUAGAUUUUAUAUUCCAAAACAAAAAUACCCAGGAUGUAUUUUAACUUUAGAAUGAAUACAUGAGAAGUGAAUUGUUGCUUAAUAUCAGAUAAAUUCAUAGUUAGAAGACAUUUUGUAUUCUAAUUAUUAUUUUACUCAUUGCAAAUUUAUAUGUCUAUAUCCAUAUAUACAUAUAUAAUAUAAAUGUUAAGUACAUGUAUACAUGUAAAAUUAGUUUUAGGAAUAUAAAUCUGAUAAUGUUCUUUUUCUUAUUUGUAGGUUACUGCUUUGUAUUUUAUUUUUCUGAAAAUUGUAGAAAUAGUAUUUCGAUUCCAAACUUAAUUAAACAUUUCUAAAAUUGACUCUAUGUUCUAUCUAAAUAUGUUAUUUCUAAUAUGAAAUGCUUGAGUAGCUAUCCAUAUGUUUGUCUUCUGAUCUGUUACCAUGUGUAUAUAUAUCCAAAUUAAAAUAGAAUUUCUGUGAUUAUUUUGUUAUUCUAAAAGGUUUUUUUGAAAAUUUCCAGUGUAUAGUUAUAUUUGUAUGUUAUGUAAUAAACAAAUGUCAAAAAUGUUCCAUCUCAGUAGCCUGUAAUAAAUUAUGAAAAUUUCUCAGAAAAGUAUAAACAAACAUCGAAGGCAGUGUAGUUUUUGAACAGAGGUUUGGCAUAAUAAUUGAAAUUCAAGUGUGAAAACAUUUGAAGUAAUAUAACUUACUGCUGGGAUUUUGUCUAUUUUACAUCUCAGAUUUACAAAGAAGAAAGUUACAUUGAGUAUAACAUUGGAGCAUCUGAAAUAAACACCCAUAAAAAAUCGUAAUGGUUAUAGCUUAUUCAUUAUACUAAUAUAAUUUAAACACUGGAACAUUUUCUGAUAUGAAAGGAUGUUUUAAAGGGACAUUUAAAAUUAUUUCACCUUUUGAACAAACAUCAACUAAUAGUGUGUUUACAGAGGUAUGUCCAUAUAUGUCUGUUGUUCUAAUGGAAAUAUUAAUGGUUACUAUUCCUGAGGAAUGUAAUUAUUUUGACAUGGUUAAAGAGUUAAGUAAUGAGUACUCAUCAGUUUUAUCAUAUUGGUGAUUAUUUUAGCACUCUUAAAAUUUUGUGUAUGUGUAAGUUAAGUGGUAAUACAUUGUUAAUUAUCUGUAUUAUUACUACUUGGCGGUCUGAAAUGAAUAUAUGAAUUGUUGAAUAGAAAUUUCCCUAGAAGAUCAUAUGGCAAAAAUUUAUCAUUACUGUGUGGGGAGAUGGGAAUGGAGGACUGUUCUGCUUUCUGCAUUUGAAAUUUUAAAGAUUUCAAAAGGAACAUUUAAACAAUGAAAGGGGUUUUUUAAAGGUACUACCAAUCUGUGCCUCUCUGCUUCGUUGCCUAUUAUCCUCUUUGGAGUAUUGGGCUGUUAUAUCCAAUUUUGUAUUCCCAGUGGCCAUUAUGAAUAAUUUGUGAGUGAUCUAGAGACUCCAAUAGAGCAGAAAGUCUACACACUGAAACAGUAUUAUGGGACCUAUGAAAAGAAAUGAGAGAAGAUGGGAUUUGAGAUGUACAUUAUGAAAAGAAGAAAUGUAUAGAUAACCCAAGAACAGCUCAUAUCAGGAACAUUCCUUCCUCAUCCAAUGGACUUUCUUAAUUUCAAAGUCUUCACUGGGAACUACAGGAGAUGAUAGUUCCAUGAAAACACAAUUCUGCCAUCUUUCUUUGUAAUUGCAAGAUUUGGUAUCACCAGACCUCCAUUGGCAGUAUUACUCAUUCAAGUGUUCUUCACUUCCCAUCUCUGGUUCCAGGAAUACCCCUUGGUGAAACGAUUAAUAUUCCCUGUCUAUAGUCGCAUUUUUUUCUCUGAAUUGAUGCUUAAAAUUAUUUUGCAAGUUGGAAAAAAAUGCAGUUUUAAUUUCAUUUGCACCAAAUUUAAUAGAUUAAUUAGGAGAGAAUAGAUCUCUUUAAAAUUGAAUCAUCCAACUGCAAGUUUUAAAUGAUGUGUUACCAGCUUAAGAAGUGAGACAUUUUAGCUGCUUCAUUACCCGACAUUUCUGUAUCAAUCCAAAUUGUUGCACUUAUUUAUCAUUUCUGUGGACUUCGUUCUUCAAAAGUACUGUAAGGACCAAAGAGACUGUCUACAGGUGGUGAACAUUUGUACAAGAAGAUCAUAGAUAUCUUCUGCGGUGGUACCACCCGCAGCAUCACACAGUUCCUGUCAUUAUUUUCCCUUUUCGAAGCUCAUUGCAUCUUUAUAUCUCAAAAGGCAUACAUUUUAUAAAAUGUACCAGCAGGUCUGCUUUCUGGCAAGUAAUUGCCUAGAAUGUUAAGUACUUCUUUGUUCUCUGAAUAUAUCUUACACUUUUCCUCUAUUGUUAUUUGCCUCAUUUGAUUUUUUUUCUCUGUGUUUUACUUUAUAAGCCAGAAUUAUAUUUGUAUGGUAAAUGUGAUUAAUGCAAUCCCAUGGACACUUUGGUCAUACCACAGAUUAUAACUGGGCUUUCCCACAUGCCAGUUUGGAUAGUAUUUGUAAAAUACUUUGUUCCUCAUUGGAAUCAUGCGCCCACAGUUUUUUUUUUAAUAAUAAAUUUAUUUUUUAUUGGUGUUCAAUUUGCCAACAUACAGAAUAACACCCAGUGCUCAUCCCAUCAAGUGGCCCCCUCAGUGCCUGCCACCCAGUCACCCCCCCUGCCCUCCUCCCCUUCCACCACCCCUUGUUGGUUUCCCAGAGUUAGGAGUCUUCCAUGUUCUGUCUCCCUUUCUGAUAUUUCCUACAGUUUUUAGAGCAGUCUCAAACAAAAUCCUCUUAGAACAUUUGUGUUACAUGAAAAUAGACCACCUAUAGUUUUCCUUUUUGUUGAACCUAAUAGAUCUCCCUCUAGAACAGGAUCUCAGCAUGACCAUAUAUGAUGUCUCCCUUAGUGCCCCAAUUUAAGACUCAGAUACUAUCACAAUUCAGUUGUGUAAAGAAAAGCCAGACUCUUGCAAUGACAUUUUUGGCCAUGGUGAUGCUAUCCGGUAGAACACGUGGUUCUGUCAUUUUACUGCUAUCACUGGAAUUGGACCAAAAAA